rnacentral:rRNA from 1 species
UUGCUUCCCCGCAAAUCCACCGCUCCGGUGUGCGCGGGGGAGGUUCGCAUCAAAUUCAUCUGCACGUAACAGCAGUCAGACAGCCCAUUCAUGGAAACAAUAAAACUUUCAACAACGGAUCUCUUGGUUCCCGCAUCGAUGAAGAACGCAGCGA